rnacentral:tRNA from 1 species
GCCGUCGCGUACACGGCGGCGCAUGCCGCGCCUGCCGAGCGGGGCCGCGACCUGGGGAUCGUGACCUCGGGGGUGGUG